UGAUAGCUAGAGAGAGAAGUUCAACAGGUAGCUAUCCUCUCUUAACCUCUCCAUCUUCCAUUUCACUUGCUUUUCACAGUUCUCAUCGAUAUCGAUUUCUUCUGCUUAUCUCUCUCCUUCAAGUUGAUCUUCUCCAGUCCUUUUGAUUCCAUUCCCAAUCGUCUCAGCUCGCUGACUAUUCAUUUCUUCGGCCAAGAUCUGUAAAGCUUCUCAAUCUGGAGAUGAUAAAUCAAAUUUUCUUAUCGAUGUUACUAAAAUAAGCCAGUCUACAAGGUGUUCGACGAAAUGCUCACAAGAACAUCUUUGUCUUCAGAUGGAUAUGCAACUUUUAAUUUUAAUAUAAGAUUGAGCUUGAAGAUCUAGUGGAAUAUGUUGAAAUCAAGUUAGUGAGAUUAGUUGGAGCAAAAAAAUGAUCUUACAGAUUGGGGUAUUGCGGCUGUUGACAAUAAUUAUGUUCAAAUUUUAUGAGGGAUUAAGAAGACGGGCAUAGCCCUUAUUUCUGAACUCAAGCUGAUGUCAAUAUAGGUUCUAAGAUCUUAAUUGGUCUGAACUAGGUUUAGUUUAUCCAUAUUCUCUAGUCAAGCAAACAAAGAAGAAGAAAAUCGUAUCCCUGUUUUAAGAUUUUGAUAUAAAUACG